UACGGGGGGGGCAAGCGUUGUUCGGAAUUACUGGGCGUAAAGGGUUUGUAGGUGGCUUGUUAAGUCAGACGUGAAAUCCCUCAGCUUAACUGGGGAACUGCGUCUGAGACUGGUGAGCUUGAGUGCAGGAGAGGAACGCGGAAUUCCAGGUGUAGCGGUGAAAUGCGUAGAUAUCGGGAGGAACACCUGUGGCGAAAGCGGCAUACUGGACCAUAACUGACGCUGAGGCGCGAAAGCUAGGGGAGCAAACAGG
rnacentral:rRNA from 1 species